rnacentral:misc_RNA from 1 species
UAAGACCCUGACCCACCUUCUAUCUGCGCACCAAAUAAAAAAUUCCAGAGGCUACACAAGAAAUCCCACCAAAUAAAAAAUGGCACCAAAGUCCAUGGACAAAAAUCAUACAUGUGCAUUUCUUUCUCAGUUCGUGUUGUUCAUUGCAUUUCUAUUUGUGUAAAUUGCGACCUUUUCUUGAUCUGUGGAGAAUAUUUCGAGCUUUCGUGCCCAAAGAGUUUGGGUUUAUGAACUGAUACUGUGGGUUUGAGUUGAGUUUUUGUUUUUAUUGAAGAUCUGCAAUACCCACCCUUUCUCGACCUCUGGAGGUGAUUUUGAGCUGUCAUGCCCAACAAAUUUGGGCCUAUGCACUGCUGAUAAUGGGUGUUUGAGUUCUGGGUUAUUGUUUUUAUUGAAGAUCUGCGAACAUCUGCUGGAUUUGGAUCUAUGAACUGAUUACAAAUAAGAAGCCAUUGUGGGCAAAAGCUGCAGUGAAAAAUGAUUACUGUGGCAAAAUCCAUUGACGGCAAUGGAUUUGAGUUCCUG